rnacentral:rRNA from 1 species
UACGUAGGGUGCAAGCGUUGUCCGGAAUUAUUGGGCGUAAAGAGCUCGUAGGCGGUUUGUCGCGUCUGCUGUGAAAACUCGGGGCUUAACCCUGGGCCUGCAGUGGGUACGGGCAGACUAGAGUGCGGUAGGGGAGACUGGAAUUCCUGGUGUAGCGGUGAAAUGCGCAGAUAUCAGGAGGAACACCGGUGGCGAAGGCGGGUCUCUGGGCCGUAACUGACGCUGAGGAGCGAAAGCUAGGGGAGCGAAUGGG